UGUCUUCCUGGGUGGGUGAUUUGGGAUGAACCCACUGGGAAACCAGUUUUAUUCUGUAUCUCCUUUCCUGUUCCCUUUAGGAAGUGUGCUGCCAAGCUCUGUGUUGCCAAGCUGUGUACCCUGGCCCAGGGAUGUGCCCAACCAGGGUAUCAUGUGCCAUUGAGGGGAUAGCAUUAGCUUCAAAACAGAGGAGCCAGCAGAAAAAAACAGAACAGUCAGAGAAGUUGAAGAAGACCUGAGGAUUUGUUUCCUGGAAUCUCAGAAAGGCAAGAAGGUGAUUAAUGAAGCUGCAAGGUGCAGACAAAUCAACCAGAAGUGAUCUGCUAAGACUUUGAUAUUGAAUCCUAGGACUUCCUGGGCCCAAAGGAACCUAUAUCCCUUCAUUACAUUUUUUCUACAGAAUGAGGCAUGUACCCAGGUCCUGGGUCUUGCAGGGGAUGCUGAGUCACCCCGCUGCAGGAGGGCAGGUCUGUGCACGCCCUGCUGAGGUCCUGGGUUGCACAGAACACACCGAGUCACCCCACUGCAGACAGGCAGCCACCUGGUUCCACACUACAAAGACGCAGAGGACACCAGACCACCAGACCAAGGUACUGAGUCCCGCUGCUCCCGGCCCAGAGGUAGGGGCUUCUGAGCUGCCAUCCCACUGCUCCUGGUCCAGAGGAAGGGGCUUCCC
rnacentral:lncRNA from 1 species